rnacentral:rRNA from 1 species
CACGUAGGGCGCGAGCGUUGUCCGGAAUUAUUGGGCGUAAAGAGCUCGUAGGCGGCCUGUUGCGUCCGCUGUGAAAGCCCGGGGCUUAACCCCGGGUCGGCAGUGGAUACGGGCAGGCUAGAGGUAGGUAGGGGAGAAUAGAAUUCCCGGUGUAGCGGUGAAAUGCGCAGAUAUCGGGAGGAACACCGGUGGCGAAGGCGGUUCUCUGGGCCUUACCUGACGCUGAGGAGCGAAAGCGUGGGGAGCGAACAGG